rfam:Aedes albopictus isolate Foshan contig157981, whole genome shotgun sequence.
UGUUCUGUGGUGGAGUUGGGUAACGCGCCCUGUCUAGCGAACUUGGGGAGACAUGGGUUCAAACCCCACCAGAACUA